UGCCUGUCCACAACGAGACUUGAUUCCUUCUGCCUCUUGCAUGACGUAAGCACGUUGGCAUGUUAAAAUGAAAGCAAAGCCAAUGAAGUUUGUGAGCAGCGUUCUCUUGUAAACAAAUCGAGCUGCACUUCCGGUUGUAUCGCAUCAGUUCUCGCAUGAACAUGCCAACGUUCUUACAUCAUGCGAGAGGCAGAGGGAACUGAGUUCCGUUGUGGACAGGCAUCGGAGAGCGACCAGAAGUAAACAAUUAUAGUGAAAAGGACUUAAAUAUUGAUCCGUUUCUCACCCAAAGCGAUCGUUUCACUUUAGAAGACAUUCAUUUAACCACUGGAGUCAUAUGGAUUACUUUUACUACGAUUGUCUGUGCUUUUUGGAGUUUUAAAGUUCUAAUCACCAUUCACUUGAAUUAUAUGGACCUACACAGCUGAAAUAUUCUUCUAAAAAUCACAUUUGGGAUGGCAUGAGGACCCCGGAGACUGGGCAGCUGACCUCAACCCGGCACUGAGCUGCACCCACCACUGCCUCCAAGCCAAGGGUGCUCAGCCAGCCUCCCUGCUAUCAUCUCCUGGGGAAAUACCUCUCACUCCAUCUGGGUGCUCAUCGACUCAGGGGCCGAAGGGAAUUUGAUGGACCCAGAUAUGGCAGCCCGUUGGGGUAUUCCAGUGCUUCCUGUGGACCCUCACAUCCCCACUCACUCCCUCACUGGGGCGUUGCUGUUUACUAUCACUCAAGCCACGGUCCAGGCAGAGCCGGUCAAUCUGUCCAGAGUUCCCGUAGUGUACCAUGACCUGGGGGCAGUGUUCAGUCGGUUCCUCCGCACCACCCGUACGACUGUGCCAUUGAUCUCCUCCUGGGCACUUCUCCGCCUCGAGGACGGCUCUACUCCCUGACACCUACUAAACGGGAGGCCAUGGACAAGUACAUAACCCAGUCGUUGUGCCUCCCCUCUGUUUCCCCCAGACCCCGGAGACUCGGCAGCUGAACUUGCCCUGGCGCUACGUCCACCACUGCCUCCAAGCCAAGGGUGCUCAGCCACUCCUGGACUGCUCCUUAGUUUUUUGUUUUUUGUUUAAAAUAAACCGUUUGAG